rnacentral:rRNA from 1 species
GUGUCAGCCGCCGCGGUAAGACGUAGGGGGCGAGCGUUACCCGGAUUCACUGGGCGUAAAGGGCGUCUAGGCGGUUCGGCAAGUCGUCUGUGAAAGUCCCUGGCUCAACUGGGGGAGGCCGGGCGAUACUGCCGGGCUAGAGGGCGACAGAGGAAGGUGGAACGGCCAGAGUAGCGGUGAAAUGCGUAGAUACUGGCCGGUACCCCGAUGGCGAAGGCAACCUUCGGGGCCGUCCCUGACGCUGAAGCGCGAAAGCGUGGGGAGCGAACCGGAUUAGAUACCCGGGUAGUCCUGGCCGUAAACGAUGGGUACUAGGUGUGGGAGGUUCGACCCCUUCCGUGCCGAAGCUAACGCAUUAAGUACCCCGCCUGGGGAGUACGGCCGCAAGGUUGAAACUUAAAGGAAUUGGCGGGG